UCCAGAUUUACAUGACGCUGAUAAUGACGCCAUUGUGUCUGCCUGUAAGACAUAUUACGAGACAGCAGCAGGAACUUCAGCUAGAAACAACCAGAUGUGGCAUCGCGGGCAGAAGCUGUGAAGAGUUCAGCUCGGAGUCGGUCGAGAAGAAAAGAGGCUGCUGGAAGCGAGACAAAGUGUGCUGGCUGCGGGUGAGGUGGUCAUUUGGAAGUGUGCCACCAUAGACCUGAUGAUCCAAAAUACAGGACAACGCACCACAGACGUCUAAAUGGACCGAAUUCAGACCGAAUGCUGUCGGUUACCUACAGCUCUGAGCCGGCCGCGGGUUAGGUGUGGACGGUGCUGCUUUGUUGUGUGCCGAUGCUUUGUACUCAGUUUUUUUUCUGUUUGUGUUUUGUGUCAAUAAAGCUCUAUCUUUGAAUAAACA